rnacentral:lncRNA from 1 species
AAAAAAAAAGAUAGUCAGCUGUUCGUUUUCCGACUUUACCUUUACAAAUACACCUAGCGUGCGGACGUGUACUCCUCGACUUCUGCAACAUACGUGUAAUUUUUUUUUUGUCGCACGCACAAUUUGCAAUCAGUUGAUUCUACGAGUGCGCGAAUCCAAGCGGCGUUCAGUACAGCUGCAGUGCACCUGUGCCUGUGUGUUCGGCUCGUGUUUAAGUGUGAGUGAGUGAAGACUAUGCAGAUCUGAAACGGUGGUUCAACAGCCGUGAAGGAGGAGGAGGAGAAAGAGUAAGCGCACAACAACAAAAUACAACAAGUGCAAACAACGCGCGGACUUCUUCCUCUGUUGGCGGUUAGCUGCUGUAGCAGUUUAAGCAGGCAGGCAUGUUGUUGUUGCUAAAACAUUAAUAGCGGCACACGGCCCAACGGCAUAUCGAGUAAAUACAUUGUAUAUUUAAUACCAAUGCAACACAUAUUCCACACACACACACACCCCCCCCCCCCCCCCCCCCCCCCCCCCCCCCCCCCCCCUCGGUCAUCUCUUAUCAGGUCAUAUAUUUUAGGCGAAGUCACUGCUUUUCGCCUUUGCUGCUGUUUGGAUGGGCAUGGGCAAGGGAGAAUGGCAAAGGGAGAGCCAACCUUUCGGUUCGUUCUCUUCUGCCAUUUGCCAUUCCUCCUCCUCCAUCCUGCUCCUCGUCCUCUUGCUCCCUGCUGCUGCUGCUUCUGCGGUUUUUUGUCGCUUUGCUUUCUGCCGCCUGCAGGCCGCAUAAUGAGGGUGCUUCAAUUUCAAUGCAUUUCGCCUCUCGCGCGCUCUUUUCUCUCUGCCUUCUUUUUGUUGUUGUUCGUCGUGAUGUUUUUGCUGUUGUUGUGUGUUCUUUUCCUAUGGUGGCAGGCACAUGCAUGUGCAUGAGAAUCUGCUGCUUUGGUUCCGCGGAGUGUCUCCUCUAUGUUCGAGUGCUUGGAAGGGAGUCUGCGAUUUGAAACUGCGAGCCUGGCUGGAAGGGGGCGCUUCAUUUGUUCGUCCUUGCCCCCCACCCACGCAUUCAUAUGCACAACCUCCCACGCACACAUAACCAUCCCCCACCCCGUCUGUCUUUGGGCUAUAUUUUCGUUUUAUUUUGUCAAAGUUUGUUGCACUUUUCGCAUCCUGUCAACCCAGACCAGACCAGACCAGCCGAGCACCAGAACCAGCACCACCCUAUCGCCCACAGUGCACCCUUUCCGUGUUUCAUUUCCUCUCCAUUCCCUCCCAACAGCAACAAUUAGUCGCAGCUGCGAAAGAAGGGCACCAAGGCAGCGACGGCAACAGCGACAGCGACGCUGGCGGCAGACAAAAGCCGCCUUGCCAUCUUGCAGAUCUUUCCCUCCCCCUCUCUAGCGCUGUCUCCGCCUUAGCUUGUGCUACCCUUUCGGCGGGUAUGUUCUGUUCGAAAGUUGCUUGCAAAGUCAACAUGUACAUACAAAUGUGCAUUACAGGGUACUAACUGCAGCGACCCCUCAUGGCCCUGGUGUUCCCUUCUUAUUUAUGUACACAUUUCACUUGGCACUUGUUAUAUUUACACGCUCCCAACACUUGCACAUGCCACACCUUCCCUUACCCCUCUGUUUGUGUGUGUGGCAUCAUCAGUAUGCCAGUUGUCACUUCAUCUUUUUAAAUGCGCUUCAUGGUUUUCAAUUUCGGAAAACAAGUGGCCCAAAAGAGCUGCAGAAGUGCCCAUAUUACAUGCCACACAAUGCAAGUGCUUCCCCCUUCUCACCCAUAUGAGAAAAAUUCAAUUAGUCUCCCACCCAGUUGGAUAUCAAACUCAAUGAAAUUCAACUAAAUGCAAAUUUCGAAUGUAUCCAUUCGAACACAACGCCUCCCCCGUUCCGCUAGCCCUGGCAACAGUUCAAAAAUAAAAAAUGAAAAAAAAAAACAAAAGAAAAGAAAGAACUCCAAUCCGAAAGUUCCGGCCAAGUCUUUGAGACGGUGUAAAAUCAUUAUUCGUCACGCUCUUUCGUCCGAAAGAGCCCUGGCCCUGCUUGAGGGAGGCGUAACGGUCAACAGCGAGCGGUAAACGUGUUCUCACGGAGAGCGAGAGAGAGAGAGAGAGAGAGAGUUCUGGAAAAAAUACAAAAAAUAUACUCUGAAAGUUGCACAAUUCCAGACUUAUUCCCCAAAAAAAGAUCCUUCCUUCUGGUUCUCUCUCUUUCGUUAUCUGAUUCAAGCACAGCCCUUGACCUACCUGUUGUUUUCUGUAGCAAAUGAUUCCCACCCCCACGUUCAGUCAAUUAACGGCAUUUUGUGGGAAGGUGGAGAGGAGAUGGGAAUACAAAAGAAAAACACAUUCUAUUUCUGGUGUUCCUUCGGCAAACAACUCUUUUUUGAGUUCAAAAUUUUCAGUGACUUUUUUCUAAUAUUCAACAUAAACUGAAGCACCUGGUCAAUGCGGACUCAUCGUCUGCGACCAACCAAUAUCGCCAUAGCGAUUAAAUAGCAAAAAUAAAAUAAAAACAAACAAAGCUAAUGAAAACAAUAAUAAAUUGUGGACUCGACGCGAAGGGAAAAUAUUACGCAUCUAUCAUAAUUCCACUCAUAUUACCGUGGCUAUCAGCACUUUUUCAUCAUUCACUCAAAUCGCUUCCCAUUACAGGAUGGAAAAGUACAUAAAGCGAAAUGAAUAUCAAAUAUUAAAGGGAAAUACGCAACGUUAGCUGUUUGGGCCACCCAAAAAAAAAAAAAACAAUAAAACCAAAAAAUAAACAAAAAAUGUGAACAAUUUUGAUGGCCUCCAAAGCGCAGGCAACUUUUUGCUCCCCCUUCACCGCCAAGCAAUUGCACAAAUUGGCCCCAACGCGAAGGAAAUGCAAAGGAAACUCCUUGCCUCCAUUAAAAGUUGGCCCAUUUGGAAUCGGUUUCAUCGUUUUUUUCCCACCAUGCCACCACGCCACAAAAUCUUCUCCCAAAAGAGAAGUUUUAAUGGUCUUUCCUUGAGUCCGUCACCUCCGUUACCCCUUCCUUCAGUGGCUCGAAAUUUUGUCUUCUGUACACGUAAGACCUGUCGCUCUCUUCCACUCUCUCUCCCUCUCUGUAGCCUUUCUUCUGCACCAAGAGAGACAGCGAGAGAGAGAGAGAGAGAGCGAGUUAAAAUUGUAAAUCAAAACAAAAGUGCAAAAAUUUUAGCAUGCUUAUCAAUUUAUGGCAUUCGUCCCCGUCCCCGUCCCCGUCCCCCUCCCCGUCGCUGGCCAGAUCCAACACGCCCCUGCAGUCGGUUCGUCACAUGGGCACCGACAGGCCACAGCAGAGGAAACUUUGUUGCCAAUUUGCAUACAAUGCACUUUUUUUGCAGUUAACAUUUUCCACUUGACAGUUUGUUACAUUUUGUGCAUCUUUUUUUUAAUAUUCUUUUAUUUUUAAUAGUCUGCCAGCCCUACAAAAAAGUAUGGGCUGCACGUUAACUGAUAAACUGAGGAACGUCAAGGUUGUAAUAUGAUUUAUUUAUUUGAAGUUAGAUAAUUGUUAUUUAAACUAAUUCCAACAGCCUUCACGUUGGCCCUUUUCUGCCUUUGGUAUUCGUGUUUAUCUGUACAGAAAUGAUUAUUGAACAUUAUUUUCACAGUAGGUCCUAGUAAAAGGUAUUCCCAAAGUCGCAAGGAUCAUCCAUAUUCUUGUUGUGGGAGUGUCCCGUAUUCGACACACAUUUAGUUGGAAAAGUUUUGAUGUUGCACAAUUUCAAAGUCAUUCAUUCAUUCGAUUGUUUUCCUAUGCCCCUCUGCCCCCACCGACCAGCGGCUCCGGCUCUCAAUCGAUGCCACAUCCAAAAGAAAACAAACGAAGCGACCCUCCCGCAGCACCCAUCUCUCUGUUUCUAUCUGUCUCUCUCUGUGUCACUUUUGUUGCUUUAAUCGCGCAAUAUUUUGGGUUCAAUGACUUGAAGCAUUUGUUUUAUAUCGUAUCGCAUCUUUCGCUUCUCUCUGCUCUGCUCUGCUCUGCUCUGGGGAGUGUUAAUUACUUUUUCCUUUAUUUUGUUGUUCUUGUUUUAAUUGUCACUUUUAAUCGGGGCAGAUCGAACGCAGGGCCCUAAAGUGACUUCGCCCAAAGGCUGUGACUGGCUGCUUGAUACAAAACAAUUUUGAUUGGUCUGCCAAGCGUGCGUGUCGUCGUUAAUAGGCAGCUUUUAAGCUAUAUUGUUGGUGUUGUGUGGCCCUAAUUAUGUUAUAAGCCCUCCCCACAUUGGUUCAUUAGUUUCUGGAGUGUGUAAUGACAGCACAAAGCCAGGGGCACCUCUCCUAAAGCUUAUACAUGUAUACAAAUGUAUAAAAAGGAUCGAAGAGUAUAGGGAUAUAGGGCUUCUUCUUUUGAGGAAGGGCAAUCGCGACUCGCGGUGCAUUUCGUUUAUGGGAAAUUGUAUACACCAUGGCUCUAUACCCAUUUUUGUGUUAAAUAUCAAAUAGGGUAAAUGGAAUUGUCACAUCCAGUCAGAUCUAUGACAAACACAAGGUUCAAUGUACCUCUCCGAUUCCAUUUCCAACAGCUGUACAAAGUCUUCUUUCCGUCUCUUUUUUGUAUUUAUACAAUGCUUGUUUUUAUUUAUACAGAAGUUGACAUAACACAAAUUGAAUUAUAACAUUUCUCCAGUUACUCUUUGUCUCAUCUUUCUUUCCUGCUUGGUUACUGGCUGCUGCUGCAGCAUUCCGUGUAUAACGCGAUCAGACGUUAACUUUUAAUUAACACUUUUUGCUCCACUUGCACGGAGACCGCCGGAUGAAUGGCUGGAUGAGGCAUGGGGUGGCUCUAAGCCACGUUUGAGUCUGCCCAGCAGCCCUUGGCUUCUCAUUAUACACCGCCCGCCCAAUGGGCGUAACCAGCUAAGUGGUUGGUGGAUGGUGGAUGAUUUCUAAAGAAUCCUUAGAGUUGACUAUAAUUCUAUAUAGAUUGGAUAAUCCAGCACUAGAAGAUGAAACUGCCCCCAAACCUUCUGCAGAGUGGAUGGAGCCUGGUUUUAGGGUAUUCUAAGAUCCAUUGGAAUGUCGGUGGCAUGGCAUUUCUUUCUCUUUCCCUGAGUUUCCAUCAUCAACCAGCGGCGUUUCGCUUCACUGUGCAAAUAUGCUGUGGGGGAUAUUCGCUUCAUUGCAUCCGUUGGCCCACCGUCGCGUUGCGUUGCGUUGCGUUGCGUUGCGUUCCGGCAAGGGCAAAUCCCAAAUCCCUGCCACUGGGCCCUCUUCGUGGGCUUAGAUAACGCCAUAGAACAGCUGCCUAGUACCCUUCCACCCGCUACUGCUGCCUGCAUAUUGUCUGAAGUAAUUUAUAAUAUCAUGACGUGACGUGCCUUGUGCUCAUGCCGCUGGUUCUGUCUCUGCUUUUGCCUGAUAAAUGAGCCAAAUGUCGCCGUGGAGUCAGUUGGCUAAAUAAUAAACUCUCUGCGCGGCACAGGGCCACGUUUUCUGUUGCCCCUCGUUCCCUUCCCUGAGCUUAAGCCGCACGGAUUUUGUUCUCCGUUUUUUUCUUUGUUUUUUCUUUGUUUUUGCCCGCUUUAGUUUUUAGAAUUUUCCAUCCAAUCAUCAACACUUCCUGAAAAAAGCUUGGCUCAACAUUAUUUAUGCAGAUUUUCUUUCACAUUUACUCCCGCCCCCACCCCCCACUCUUUUUGUGUCUCUCUCUUUGACUGACUCACUUUGGGGCAGACAAUGAGACAUGGAAGACAUGAGACGCAUGGAGGCGCAACAAGCGUGUGAACUAGCGCCAGGCUAUUCGCGCAGAGUGCCACAGUGCCACCACAGACUAAAAAAAAAAAACAAAAAUCGACUGUCUAAAAUGAUAUUUUAUAUGCCGAAAAUCAAAGCAUUUUCAGAGCAUUUAUAGUUGGAUAGUUACAUCUGAAGAUUUAUGAAGCCAAAGCCAUUUAUUUGAAGACAUAUUUUUUAAUGGAAUAAUUUCCCAAGGCAUCUCUAAAAUUUGUCUCAUAAAUGGCCUAAUAAAUCAAUUCCAUUCUGUUGUUGCCUUGCAUCACCAUUUUUAAACCACUUUGCAGCUAAGCCACAGUGGAGUGGAGUUUAGCAUCAGCGGAGCGGAGUGGAGUGGAGUGGCCAAAACAAAAUGCCAUUAAGCUUAAGUUGAGCAUAACACGAAAGAACAAAAGCAGCUGAGAAAUGCUUGUGGAGAAAAACGCACACAAAAAAAAAAAACAAAAAACAUUCAUGCAUACAGGGAGGGGGUGAGGGUGAGGGUGAGGGUGGGUAGUGGUGUAAUAAAAAGCAAAGUCCCAUCAAAUAAAGUGGGGGAAAAACUCUUCUCUUCGCUCAUAUGCAUAAACAAUUUAAUAUGUCCGUGUGGGCUGGCUGGCGGCUGACUGAAUGUUGAGUACAGAGCAAAGGCAUAUCACAAUCAAAUGUACACGCUUAUUAAUUUUUACAAGACUUUAACCGACACUUGGGCUCACACAAUCACACAAUCAACCAAGAACAAAAAACAAAAAACAAAAAACAACAACUGUUCAUAGGGGGGAGGGUGGUUAAGUGGAGCAAUGUUUACCCUUUUUGGCAGCAAUCCACAUGCUCCACCUCCUCCUUGUGGCACCUCUUCAAACAAAAAGUGUAGCCUGCCUCUCGGUAUUUUCCCCCAUUUGAUAGAGCAGUGUCGGGUGAAAGUAGUAAAAAGUGGGUGGUUCGUUGGAGUGUGGAAAGCUGGAAAGGGGGUUUGCUCCAGUAAAAAAAGUUUCGACUGACGAAGGGCCUUCGGGGUAAAUAUAUAAGCCACAUUUUGGCAUGCAAAAUAUUGCCAAAAGGAAUUUUUAUUUUUAUACAUUUUUGCUGUUAAUAUCAAAACUUUUCAACAUGCGAGCGCAUAAGCUAAGAGAGAGAGAGAGAGAAGGAGAGAGAGAGAGAACGAACAAAGGGGAAAAUGGGAAGCGGAAGGGCAAAGAACCAAAGAGAAACGGAAGCAAACCCUUGAGGGGUUUGCUGUCAUGUGUGUGUGGAAAGCACAUUUUUGCAUUCCCAGACACACAGACUGCCACGCCCACGCCCACGCCCACGCCCAAAAUAACUGCUUGGAAUGACCAACAAGUUGGCAGGAUCAGAUGCCAGCAAGCACACGGACAAGAGACAGACAGGCAGGCGCUCAGACAUGCAGACAUAGAGCAGGGUUUUGUGAAGAGACUUACAUGGGUCGACGCGAAGAUACCCGCGAUACCAGCUAAGACAGGCAAAGAUUUAAACAUUCAAAUAUCAGUUUUAAUUUUUAUUUUCAUAUUAAAAUGUAACCGAAAGGCUUCAUUUUUGGGUGUGCAUUCCUUUUGUUGAAAUUACUGGGUAUAAAACUGAAUGUUUAAUUGAGAGUAACAGAAGUCCGCGCUGCGUGUGUGUUGGCUCCAACGGCUACAAGGUGAAUCAUUCGAGAGAUGAAAGGAGUGAAAGCUGCCAGAGAGAGGGUGGAGGACGAACUGGUAGAGACGACCGCAGAGGACGACAAAUUGCAAGCUUUCUUUCCAAGUUUCUCGUGUCAGGAACAGAGUUUUGAGGUUCAGAAAAUUGCAUGCGAGUAAUGUAAAAAAAAUUGAAAAAGAAACACUCACUCGAGAGAUGAUUUGUGCAAAGUUUUUCAUUCUGUGGCUGUUUCGGGGUCAAAAGUUCCAGUUGCAACGGGCUCUUUGUCGGCAAAUCGUCAGCAGGAGGAAGGGGGGUUGGAAAAGGGUGCACUGAAUGAAAUGCUAAAUGAAUUAUGCAAGUUCCGGUGCAAUGGAAAAACUUUUAUUCCAGAGUACUUACUUACGUUUUCUAAACACGAAAAUUGUGUGAGGAAAAAUGGAAAAUUAAGUGUCUCAGACGGGGAGAGGGAUUUGAUUUCUAGUCCAUUGCUUUGGUCACUUUUCCAUGAAGUGAAUAAUGUUUUCUGUGGGAUGUAAAUUAUACUCUUCGACGGAGUCUUUACUUUAAGAAGGACUCAACUCCUUACCUCCUUCACUGCUGCUCUCUCGUUCGCUUUCUCUUUGGUUGUUAUAACUGGAAAAGUUCUGUAUUUAAGGGAAUUAUGCUCGAGCAUCUGACACGUCGGCCGCACUCUCGAGAGCUGCCAGGGACUUGGCAGUUGGCAGUUGUGAAGUGCUGCUGCCCCAGCUACGACUGCUACUGAAAGUCUGAGUCUCGUCUCGUCUCUCAACUGGCACUGCCACUGCCACUGCCACUGCCAUAGCUUCUCGAGAGUAAGCAAGCGAAGAGCCCCAGUGACGAAUGUCCUCUCAGAAUUUUACGAGAUGCACUCGACACAAGGUACAGUUGAGCGUUCCCCACGUUGUGAGAAGCGUUUCUGCUUCGCAAAUUUUCAUCACAUUUUGUGUUUUAUACAGCCAAUGUUGAAGGCUCUCCUGAUCGAAAUUAAGCCGCUUACUUAGGGGAAACAGAUUACAGAUGUGCUGUUACUCUCCAGUGUGCUGCCCAUGGAAACAGCUUGUAAAUGUGUUCUGUCUAUCCCUCCAUCCAGCCAUCCAUCCCCAGGAGUCACGUUCCCAUGUCAUACGUGAUAGUAGAUUUUUAAUCAACUAAAGUAUGACAUGUGACAUUGAAAAGAGAAGAUUGAUAUGCAGUCGAUAGCCCUUUAUACGCAUCUGUUUGUGGAAUGUUUUGAUGUUAUUAAUAAUACCUAAUGUUUGAUCAUCUGCUUGCAGAUAUGACGGAGGAAAUAACUGGCAAUUGGAGCUAUUACUUGUAUAUAUCGCUAACGCUGGUCCCAGUCUAUCUGGCGUUUCGGCUCAUCAAGACCCUCGGCUGGCAGCUCUUUGUCAACAACUGAACACACACAGGACAGAGCUCUGCUCCCCAUUCCAUGCUGUGUUGCAUUUACUGCUGCAUUCAGGCUGCCAAACAAAGGUGCGUAGUCACUCGAGGUUUCCACACAGAUGCAGUCCGGUAUUUGGUAGUUGUCGAGCGUUCAGCGUUGAACAGUUUCUAGUGCAGAGGC